CCUACGGGAGGCAGCAGUAGGGAAUCUUUCACAAUGGGGGAAACCCUGAUGCAGCAACGCCGCGUGCAGGAUGAAGGCUUUCGGAUUGUAAACUGCUUUUGUAAGCGAAGAAUAUGAUGGUAACUUAUGAAUAAGGAUCGGCUAACUACGUGCCAGCAGCCGCGGUCAUACGUAGGGUGCGAGCGUUAUCCGGAGUGACUGGGGGUAAAGAGUGCGGUGGGGGGAAGAAAAAUGAGAUAUGAAAAUCUGGUGGGUCAAACCAUCAGACUAUUAGUGAAAGUGUUAAUCUCGAGAGGGUGAGGGGUAACUGGAAGUCUUAGUGUAGGAGUGAAAUCCGUAGAGAUCAGAAGGAAUACUAAUAGCGUAGGCAGGCUACUGGGACGGUACUGACACUAAGGCACGAAAGCGUAGGGAGCAAACGGGAUUAGAUACCCUAGUAGUC
rnacentral:rRNA from 1 species